AAAGAGUCUCCAGCUCUCAAACACCACCUGCAGAAAGAACGUGGCUGCUUGAGUCCUGCAUAUAAUAAGGCUGGAACAGUCUUUCCUGGCGGCAGAUUUGCAUAGCAUGGAGAUCUCUUACUGAGCCGCCUUUAUAGGAUCGGAAUCUCCGAAGAUCUGCAAGAAGUAAAACUGGAAUAAUUAAAAACUCAAGCCAAGCUGCCCAUUUCUUUCCUCUUGGUAGCCAGGUACCACAAAAGAAAAAUAAAGAAACAAGUGGUUUUGCUUUU